AGAGUUUGAUCAUGGCUCAGGAUGAACGCUGGCGGCGUGCCUAACACAUGCAAGUCGAGCGAAGCGAUCGAGAUGAAGUUUUCGGAUGGAUUCCUGAUUGACUGAGCGGCGGACGGGUGAGUAACGCGUGGGUAACCUGCCUCAUACAGGGGGAUAACAGUUAGAAAUGACUGCUAAAUACCGCAUAAGCGCACAGUACCACAUGGUACGGUGUGAAAAACUCCGGUGGUAUGAGAUGGACCCGCGUCUGAUUAGCUAGUUGGUGGGGUAACGGCCCACCAAGGCGACGAUCAGUAGCCGACCUGAGAGGGUGAUCGGCCCACAUUGGGACUGAGACACGGCCCAAACUCCUACGGGAGGCAGCA
rnacentral:rRNA from 1 species